UGAUGCAGCGACGCCGCGUGAGGGAUGACGGCCUUCGGGUUGUAAACCUCUUUCAGUAGGGAAGAAGCGUAAGUGAGGGAACCUGCGGAAUAAGAGCCUGCUAACUACGCGCGAUCCCCCUCGUCAACGCGUAGGGCGCAAGCGUUAUCCGGAAUUAUUGGGCGUAAAGAGCUCGUAGGCGGUUUGUCGCGUCUGCCGUGAAAGUCCGGGGCUCAACCCGGAUCUGCGGUGGGUACGGGCAGACUAGAGUGAUGUAGGGGAGACUGGAAUUCCUGGUGUAGCGGUGAAAUGCGCAGAUAUCAGGAGGAACACCGAUGGCGAAGGCAGGUCUCUGGGCAUUAACUGACGCUGAGGAGCGAAAGCAUGGGGAGCGAACAGGAUUAGAUACCCUGGUAGUCCAUGCCGUAAACGUUGAACACUAGGUGUGGGGGACAUUCCACGUUUUUCGCGCCGUAG
rnacentral:rRNA from 1 species